UUUUUGCGCAAGGGAUAGAAGCGACAUCCUUUUAUAUUCUCAUUUUAAACGAAGUUGAAAAAUGAGAAUAUAAAAGAUAUAGCGAAUAGCCCGACCCGAA
rnacentral:sRNA from 1 species